CGCGUAGGCGGUAAUGAAAGUCAGAUGUGAAAUACUUCGGCUCAACUGAGGAACUGUAUCUGAAACUUCAUAACUAGAGUACGGAAGAGGGAAAUGGAAUUCCCGGUGUAGAGGUGAAAUUCGUAGAUAUCGGGAGGAACACCAGUGGCGAAGGCGAUUUCCUGGUCUGGUACUGACGCUGAGGCGCGAAAGUGUGGGGAGCAAACA
rnacentral:rRNA from 1 species